CGGCGCGGGAUGAACGCCCGACCGGGAGGAGAGGCUGCGCCUCGCAGUCCGCGCCCGCCGCUCGGAGGCAGUGCUGGGGCCGGGAGGGACGCCGAGGCCCCGCUAGAUGAGGCGCGGGAGCCGGGAGAGGGAUGGUGUGCGGAAACGCGCCGCGAGUACCAGGGCGGCUGCGGCUCCCUCCGCAAGGCCGGCUCCCAUCCGCCGCGGGCCUCUUUCUCAUGGUAAUGAGGCCCCGGGCGCCCUCCCUUCCGCCCACCCUCCACGCCCUCCCCUGCGCUCGCGCCCCCGCGCCUUGUCGGGGCCGCCUUCUCGGCGGAGCAGACAAAGCCCGCGGCCGCGACGGGCCGGGAAGGGUGCCGGACCGAGGGGGGGCCCGGGCCAAGGAUGGGGUCCCUCACCCCCGAGGAGCGAGCUGCGGCCCACCACACCCCCUCCCGGCUCCCAGUGUCGGGAGUCCCAGCGACGCCGGCUGGGAGGAGCCUGAAUUGGAGGAAGUGUGGUACCAGGGACCAUGGGACUCUGCUGGGGAAAGUUCCUACUGUGGACCAGGUGUCGUCUCAAGCUUCCACCAGACGCUCGGCUUGGGGCGGACAUCCAAC
rnacentral:lncRNA from 1 species